UCCGGAGGGUGCAAGCGUUAAUCGGAAUUACUGGGCGUAAAGCGUGCGCAGGCGGUUUGUUAAGUCCGCUGUGAAAUCCCCGAGCUCAACUUGGGAAUUGCAGUGGAUACUGGCAAGCUGGAGUAUGGUAGAGGAAGGUGGAAUUCCCGGUGUAGCAGUGAAAUGCGUAGAGAUCGGGAGGAACACCAGUGGCGAAGGCGGCCUUCUGGACCAAUACUGACGCUCAUGCACGAAAGCGUGGGGAGCAAACAGG
rnacentral:rRNA from 1 species